CAGCGACCUUGACUAUAUGACUUUUAUUUUGUACUUGUCGGGAUUGACCGUUGACCUUUACCCGGAAGUUGCACAGAUUGAUCUUGUUUUGUUGUCAAAGUUGUUGCUGCGCAGCUCCAAGCAGAUUGUCCCUCACAUUGCGAACGUGAGUCCAGAUGGCCGACGGUGAGGUUGUGAAUGGCUCGGCUGAUAACCAGGAGGUGGCGCCAUCGGGUAAGAAAUCUGGACAUGCCUCACUGCUCGAUAGUGGGGAAGACUUUGAAAUGUUGGAAGAUGUAGAAGAGGAUGUGGAUGACGACCUCCCGCCUUUAGAAGACGCAGGUGGUGGAAAGAAGAAAAACAAUUCGGCUAAAGACGCUACAAAAGCAGACGCAGUUGCCGAUCAAACCCCUUCUGCAGAACCGGAAGAGUGGCUGGAUGUUUUAGGAAAUGGGCAGCUUAGAAAGAAAGUUCUGGAACCCGGAGCUGGUCCAGACAGCAGACCCCAUAGAGGCCAAAAUGUCACAAUUCAUCUUAAAACCAGUCUUACUGAUGGAACUGUGGUAGAAGAGCUGCCAAACUUAUCUUUUACUCUUGGUGAUGGGGAUGUCCUCCAGGGGCUGGAUCUCACUGUACAGCUGAUGGAAAUGGGCGAAAAGGCUUUGAUUGAAGCAGGUGCUAAAUACACGUACGGUGCCCUUGGCAGCUCUACUCCUGCUGUGCCUCCUGAUGCUGAUCUCAUCCUGGAGGUGCAGCUGUUGUCAGCAGUUGAUGCCCCAGACCUGGAGCUCAUGCCGCCCUUGGAGAGAAUCAGUUUGGCCAACAGAAAGCGAGAGCGAGGAAACGUCCACUACCAGCGCGGCGACUACGCCUUUGCCGUCAACUCGUAUGGAAUCGCACUGCAGAUAACUGAAGCCAGCUCCAGAGUGGAUAUCAGUCAACAAGAAGAGGAGGAACUUUUGGACAUGAAGGUGAAAUGUCUUAACAAUAUGGCCGCUGCUCAACUCAAGCUAGACCACUAUGAAGCCGCACUGCGCUCCUGCGUCUCCGUACUGGCGCACCAGCCGGACAAUGUCAAAGCCCUGUUCCGCAAAGGCAAGGUACUGGCUCUGCAGGGCGAGUAUGCUGAAGCCAUUAAAACACUGAAAAGGGCCUUGAAGUUGGAGCCAAUUAACAAGAUGGAGCUGCAGACCCCCAAAUACAUCCUGUCUGCAGACAGAACAGAGUGUUCAAAAACUCCUAGGAUUGCAUUUCUUUCCAUGUCUAUAAAUAACUGGAUCCCUCUGCACACUUGCCAUAUCUAAAGCAGCAUUGGCCUGCUCUGCUUACACAGGCGGACGGAUGAGGUUCCCUGUGUCCCACCAUCUGACAGCUCCUGACUUCCACGGCUUUCUGCUGUGUGACCAGCCUGCCACUGCCAAGCCACCUACGUCUGCACAUUUACACCCCUCUCAUCUCAUGUGUCUGGCCUUUAGAGAGGCUCCAGUAAAGAUUUCCUUAAUCCACUCUGAUCUCUUCUCUUCAGUUUGCCUUUACCCUACUUGUUUAAGUCAUUAGCCAGUAAUUAAACUUUAGCACUAAUUAAACUAAAUGGCAGGUUAUCAUGGUAUAUUUUGAUUCGGGCGGCUCCUGAAAGUCUACAUUUAACAUGCCAUUCACAGUCCUUGCUCCUUGCUAAUUAACAAUAAUGACAGUCUAUUUAAUCUAAUUAGCCAUAUAUUGUUUAACAUCAUGUUUUGGGCUGUAAUUUUUAUGUUUGUAGGUUACCGCUUUGAUUUAGCAGUCUUUCUUUAUCAUAAUGCUACUUUUUAAGUGUGGAUCAGGGAUUUGAACGAUUUAGUUUGCAAAUUAAUCAUUGUUUAAAACAAAUUGAUAAACUUUUGUUGAUUCUGUGAUUUGGUCAAAUAAAUCUGAUUGAUUCAGAUUCACUUGAAGAAUUUACAAGUGAAUCCCCUGAAAUUUGUAGUGAUGACUCAGAAUUAAUUGGUAAACUGUUUCAAACACAAACUGAAUAUAACAAAAUAUAACAAAAUGUAAAAAAAAAUUUAAAAAAGUUUUUUUUUGUUUUUUUUUUUCCCCCCGAAAUUGCAUUCUCAUAUAUUGCCUGCAGUCAUUGGCUAUAACCAGGGUCUUGAUUUUGAGGUCAUACAAGAGAAAACUGAUCAUACAAAUGUGUGUGACCCAUAUAAAGACAUGUUUCUUUAGUAUAAGAUGCUUUCACUUCUGCUUUUGUCUUCUGUGGCAUUGCAGCUGAUAUUAGGAAACAUGUGAAUGUGGUUUUAAUCUUGAAUUGGUUUAUAUCUUGUCUUUUGUUAGGCUUUCACUCAAUCUCCGACAGCAUUGUCAUGUUUAAUCAUUUGCGUGCCGCCCAAAUGUGUUGGUGUGCUGCAGUGAGCAACAGCUUCAUCAGCCUGAAGAUUACCCCCCACCCCCCCACACACUUUUCAUUCUCUCUGCCCUUUCCUCGGCAGACCAUCCACGCUGAGCUGUCGAAGCUUGUGAAGAAACACUCUGAGCAGAAAGGAGCUGAACAGGCCAUGUAUAAAAAGAUGCUGGGUAACCCGUCAAACUCUAGUGUGCAGAAACACCGUGCCAAGUCCUCAUGGAGUCUCAGCUGGAAGUGGCUUUUUGGGGCUACAGCUGUCGCGAUUGGAGGUGUAGCUUUGUCGGUUGUCAUCGCAGCUAGAAAUUAACCGAAAUUCACUGUGACAAGAUGGACGACGUGGUGCUCAAGACUUUGAGCAUGCCUAGCCCUCAGAACACCUUAUUAACCUUUAUAAAAAUAAAAAAAAAAAGUAAUUGAAAGUGAAUUAGUUGUAAGUUCUGUUGCGCUUCUUCGUGCUAAAGAGGUUUUAAAUGGUGUUCACUUUUUUACUUUCAAUGCAUGAAAGAUCAGCUAGGAAGAAAUAGAUGUCAGAAAGAUUAUAUUAUUCCUAUUUAUGUACAGAAAGGUUCCUAGUUAUAAUGAAGAAAUUUAUUGAUGUACAGAAUUAUGCUCUUCAGGUUGCUGGACACAGUUGUGUUUUGCUUUAGAACCCUCCAACUGCAAACACGUGUGAAGUUCCGUGAUCUUAUUUUGGUGAACUGAAACUUGCUUGUGAACAGUCUUGAACAUUCAAGAAUUUGAUUGUAUGCUUUUUCUUUUGCAGUAUCUUGUAUGCGUUUUCUUUUAACAGGCAUCUUUAGCUUCUGAUGGUAAAGAAAAACAACACUAUUUCAAAAGUCCUUUCUUCCUUUUUAUAGGCUCCAAAAUAUCCCUGGACCGAUGUGUUAAAGAAGUAAAAUCAGCCGUGUGAUUCUUAAUAAUGUUCAGAGAUUUUCGCAUUUUCAUGACCAAACACUGCAAGGAAGGUCAUAUCUGGACCUAUUUGGUUUAUAUUUUUCAGCUCCUAAGAAUUAUUUACUGCAUUUACUUUGAAUUAUUUAUUUAGGAUGAACAAAUGUGUGUCGCCAUAUAUUUUUUUUCAUCCUUAUGUUGAUUGUCUCAGUUCCCUAUUCCAAUUUUUAUUGUAGUAUUGGUAACUUCCAGCAUUCCCUUUAAAGUUGUUUUGUAUAUCCUAAAAUAUACUUUUGCACUUUCUGUUCAUAUGGUUGAAAAUAAAGUGAUUUCUUGAAAAUGUUUA